UAAAACAUUCAUAAAUGGCUUUGCUUUCAGGGUUAUUGAGCUGUUUUACUAUUGCUUCUUCGAGUUUCUCAUGAUUCUAAUAAUGUCAAAUCACAUGCAAAGAGCAAAAAGAAGUCAAUUAGUGGGGGUGCUCCAAUUGUUGUUUCUUAUUUUCCUAUCAACUCACAUCUUUCACGCUUAUGAGAGAUUUUAAGUAAUUUAAUUUAAUUGGAUUUAUGCUUGUCUGAUAUUUUAGCAUAUUGUAGAUUUACGAAUAUUCUUGUAUCAUUCAUGCAUUAUUUGAUAUGAUAAAAUUGCUUUAUUU
rnacentral:lncRNA from 1 species